AUGCAAGUUUGGUCCCAGCCAACCAAAGCUCGACAAGUGGAGCCUAGUCAGCACAGCCGUCAGGCCAGCGCCUUUUGCAUUUACCCCCCUGGACUUUGCACUAAUCAACCCACACUACAGCCGUCAGCCCAGCAACUACUUGUAGCUGGCGUGCGCCGCGCCCGUGUUGGGCUGGAAGCACUCGCCGCCGGGCUGGAUGGCGUCGCAGGUCCCGUUCCCCUGCCCGCACGCGUACGUCAGUGCGUCCCCCACCGCCGUCUCGUUCAGCUUCCUGCCGGCGUGCGCGGCCAGCACGCACCAUAUCGGGCCCUUGUACGGCGUGACUCAAUAGUUGCAUUUUAUAAGUUUGGGACCAAAUCAUCACAUCCAUGA
rnacentral:rRNA from 1 species